ACAGAUUUACAGUUAUUAAUUGCUCACAGACGAAUAAUAUUCUGACCCAGCAAUUCUGAUACUGAAUUAAGUGGUAACCUAAAUUACUGUCUCUGUGUAAAUUUAAUUCCUCUUCUCCAUGAUCAAAGACGAAAUGCUGUGAAUAUGGCAGUUGGUGUUGUCAAGAAUCCAUUGAUGCAUUGCAAGGCUGCACUAGAGGACUUGCUAGUCUCUAAACCAAACCAAGGUCAGUCUUUUGGAUGUACCACAUGGUGGUUUUGACAAACUAUCGACAAGAAACUUAUCUACUUCCUUUGAGUGGCUGCACACUAGUGAACAGGUUGUUAAUAAAGUACUGGAGCAGUGUGCUGUUAUUAUGCAGUUGCAACAUAAUUACCUGGACCUAGUGCAGCACCUACAACAGUCAAUGUAUAUCCAUCAGCAGUCUAAUCUUCUCAAUCAUUGGUGCCGAAUUUUUCUGAUGCUUAUGAAUCCAAUUCCAAGCCUUACCAAGGUCAGAAAAUGCGUCACGGAGAAGCUAAACAACAUCAGGAGAAAAUCUGGUUCAUAUGCCUCUCCAUGGGCAUGUAACUUGACAGGGGGGUCUGGCCGAAGAUCAGAUGCAUGGUGGUGUCCAUGUUCAUGUGAAGGAUUUGAAGGUGUCAGAAAAGAAAGAUAAAUUGAAGAGAGAUAAUUCAUCCCAGAAAAUGAAUGAACCUGAAAAGAAUUGAUCACUGGAAGCAGAAGUUGCUUUUCAAACAGAGAGGGAAGGCUACUGAAGAAGCUGAUUGUGUGGACUCAUCGAAUUCUUUGGAAGCCCAGAUGGAUUUACUGAAUCCAUCAAUCUCAGAGUAGUUCCUGUCAACUGUGUGUGUCUCAUGUGCCCAUAAUACAUUGCAGCAGUUCGUUUCACCGAAAGAAAAAGGUAUAAGAAGAGUAACUUCAUGAAGAAACUGGCCUCACGAGGUAAAGAGAAAGAAGAAUUCUUCAUCAAGAACUCUGGUGCGCUAGUGAAGGAUUCAAAGCUUUCAGCUUAAAAUUGAAGAGGUAUUCUGGAAGUGUGGCAGCCAUGAGUAUGGUUGGCCACAUUCUAGGCCUGGGUGAUAGACAUUUGGAUAACAUUCUUGUGGAUUUCUUGGAGAUAUUGUAAAUAUUGAUUACAAUGUGUGGUUCAAUAAGGGGCAAAGGUUAAAGAUUCCA